UCACGAGCAAAUGAUUCGUUUGUU
rnacentral:siRNA from 1 species